UACGUAGGGCGCAAGCGUUAUCCGGAAUUAUUGGGCGUAAAGAGCUCGUAGGCGGUUUGUCGCGUCUGCCGUGAAAGUCCGGGGCUCAACUCCGGAUCUGCGGUGGGUACGGGCAGACUAGAGUAUUGCAGGGGAGACUGGAAUUCCUGGUGUAGCGGUGAAAUGCGCAGGUAUCAGGAGGAACACCGGUGGCGAAGGCGGGUCUCUGGGCAAUAACUGACGCUGAGGAGCGAAAGCGUGGGGAGCGAACAGG
rnacentral:rRNA from 1 species